AUUGAACGCUGGCGGCAUGCUUUACACAUGCAAGUCGAACGGCAGCGGGGGCUUCGGCCUGCCAGCGAGUGGCGAACGGGUGAGUAAUGCAUCGGGACGUGCCCAUGUCGUGGGGGAUAACUACGCGAAAGCGUGGCUAAUACCGCAUACGCCCUGAGGGGGAAAGCGGGGGAUCUUUCGGGACCUCGCGCGAUUGGAGCGGCCGAUGUCGGAUUAGCUAGUUGGUGGGGUAAAGGCUCACCAAGGCGACGAUCCGUAGCUGGUCUGAGAGGAUGAUCAGCCACACUGGGACUGAGACACGGCCCAG
rnacentral:rRNA from 1 species